GACGAACGCUGGCGGCGUGCUUAACACAUGCAAGUCGAACGGAAAGGCCCCUUUGGGGGUACUCGAGUGGCGCACGGGUGAGUAACACGUGAGUAACCUGCCCUUGACUUCGGGAUAACUUCAGGAAACUGGGGCUAAUACCGGAUAGGAAUCCUUGCUGCAUGGUGGGGGUUGGAAAGCUUCGGCGGUUUUGGAUGGGCUCGGGGCUCAUCCGCUUGUUGGUGGGGUAAUGGCUUACCAAGGCUUUGACGGGUAGCCGGCCCUGGAGGGCGACCGGCCACAGUGGGACUGAGAUACGGCCCAGACUCCUACUGGAGGCAGCAGUAGGGAAUAUUGAACAAUGGGCGGAAGCCUGAGGCAGAAACGCCGCGGGCGGGAUGACGGCCUUCGGGUUGUAAACCGCUUGCAGCAGGGCCGAAGCUUAUGGUGACGGUACCUGCAGAAGAAGCACCGGCUAACUACGU
rnacentral:rRNA from 1 species